GUAUUUUUGAAGAGGCGUACCGGAAUCGCGGAAUCAGACCUUUCUCGCUGAUGAAACCGCAGAUAGCGUCUCUGCGCAGCUGCAUUCUGGCUGCGUCCCCGAAUCCAAUGAAGGCAACUGGAUGAGGGCUUGCCCCGCCAUUGUGCGGGGCUUUUUC
rnacentral:sRNA from 1 species